rnacentral:lncRNA from 1 species
UCUUUCUUUGAGAAAAAGUUUCACUUGUUUAUUUGUUUUUAUCAAAUUCUUGUCCUUGACACAUUGACAAGAGUGCACUUACAAUAUCAGAGCUUUGUCUAAUAAUAAUUAAGAGUGGAUUAUCCUUUUCUCUUGAUAAGACAUAAGCAUAUUAGAAGUUGUAGAUUACCCUCUUCUAAACUGAUAUUAUUUUUAGUAUUUUCUUUGUUCUCAAGUCCUCUCUUCUAUUUGUCUUAAGCAAUAUUAGAUAUCUUCUCUUUUCUAAGUGUUAUCAUGGCAAAACUUGCUAAAAUGAAGAGUGCAAUGGCUUAAAUGCAAGAGUAGUUGAGGGAGUUAAUGCUUGUGAUACAUCAACUGAAUUUACCACCACAAAGAGCAACAAGAUUG